CCUACGGGUGGCAGCAGUGGGGAAUAUUGCACAAUGGGGGAAACCCUGAUGCAGCGACGCCGCGUGAGUGAAGAAGUAUUUCGGUAUGUAAAGCUCUAUCAGCAGGGAAGAAGAAAGACGGUACCUGACUAAGAAGCCCCGGCUAACUACGUGCCAGCAGCCGCGGUAAUACGUAGGGGGCAAGCGUUAUCCGGAUUUACUGGGUGUAAAGGGAGCGUAGACGGCUGUGCAAGUCUGAAGUGAAAGCCCAGGGCUGAACACUGGGACUGCUUUGGAAACUGUGGAGCUAGAGUGCUGGAGAGGUAAGUGGAAUUACUAGUGUAGCGGUGAAAUGCGUAGAUAUUAGGAGGAACACCAGGGGCGAAGGCAGCUUACCAAGCUACUUCUGACGUUGAGGCACGAAAGCGUGGGGAGCAAACAGGAUUAGAUACCCGGGUAGUC
rnacentral:rRNA from 1 species